GCGGUUCCGGUUCACGCCGCGCCUGCCCGUUGAAACGGGCAGGCGGGCGACCCGGCGGCC
rnacentral:ncRNA from 1 species